UACGUAGGGUGCAAGCGUUGUCCGGAAUUAUUGGGCGUAAAGAGCUCGUAGGCGGCUUGUCACGUCGCUGUGAAAACCUGGGGCUCAACCCCGGGCCUGCAGCCGAUACGGGCAAGCUAGAAUUCGGUAGGGGAGACUGGAAUUCCUGGUGUAGCGGUGAAAUGCGCAGAUAUCAGGAGGAACGCCCGUGGCGAAAGCGGCUCUCUGGGACGGUACUGACGCUGAGACGUGAAAGCGUGGGGAGCGAACAGG
rnacentral:rRNA from 1 species